rnacentral:rRNA from 1 species
AGCAGCCGCGGUAAUUCCAGCUCCAAUAGCGUAUAUUAAAGUUGUUGCAGUUAAAAAGCUCGUAGUUGAAUUUCGGGGUCAGUAGGCUGGUCAUGCCACCGGUAUGUACUGGUCUUACUGAUUCCUCCUUCCUGACGAACCGUAAUGCCAUUAAUUUGGUGUUGCGGGGAAUUUGGACUGUUACUUUGAAAAAAUUAGAGUGUUUAAAGCAGGCUAACGCUUGAAUACAUUAGCAUGGAAUAAUGGAAUAGGACGUUCGAUCCUAUUUUGUUGGUUUCUAGGAUUGACGUAAUGAUUAAUAGGGAUAGUUGGGGGCAUUAGUAUUCAAUUGUCAGAGGUGAAAUUCUUGGAUUUAUUGAAGACUAACUACUGCGAAAGCAUUUGCCAAGGAUGUUUUCAUUAAUCAAGAACGAAAGUUAGGGGAUCGAAGACGAUCAGAUACCGUCGUAGUCUUAACCAUAAACUAUGCCGACUAGGGAUCGGAUGAUGUUAAUUUUUUAAUGUACUCAUUCGGCGCCUU